UUUUGCUUAUAAUAGUGACCAAAAUUUGAAUUGUUUUUUUACUUAUAAAUGUGACCGGAGGGAGUACAAAUUUACACAUGAUGGUAAAACUCUUAUCUUAAUUGUAAUCCAUCCUUAAUAUUAGUUGAAGUGAUUAUGAGAGCAUGCCAUACAAUGGAGGCUAGAUGAAAGAAAAUAUGUCAAUUCAAACCAAUUUUUUAUGUAUGUCCUUGGUAUAGGUAGGAGUAAUAGUAAUACCUUCAACUGAGUCAUUCAUGUGAUUUUUUGUUAAACUUAAAAGUUUGAAGUUUCUCAAAUUCUGAACAUCUGUAGCAUACAAGAAAAA
rnacentral:lncRNA from 1 species